GAACGCNGGCGGCGUGGNUAAGACAUGCAAGUCAAACGGACUAGUAAUUUAUUAUUAGUCAGUGGCGAAAGGGUUAGGAANAGAUAGGUAACGUACCCUGUGCUCUGGGANAGCGUCAGUAGCUUCGGCUACUUUCCGAAAGGGGCGGUAAUACCAGAUAAUAUCAUCUGCCGACUGGGUAGAUGAUCAAAGAUUNAUCGGCACGGGAGCGGCUUAUCUCUUAUCAGCUUGUUGGUGAGGUAAAAGCUCACCAAGGCUAUGACGGGUAGCGGGACUGAGAGGUUGACCCGCAACAUCGGGACUGAGACACUGCCCGGACCUCCACGGAGGGCUGCAGUAACGAAUAUUACGCAAUGGGCGAAAGCCUGACGCAGCGACGCCGCGUGUAGGAGGAAGUCUCUAGGGACGUAAACUACUGUCAGGGGUUAGAAAGUGCAUUUCGGUGCAUUGAUCAGCCCCAGAGGAAGUCACGGCUAACUUCGUGCCAGCAGCCGCGGUAAGACGAAGGUGGCGAGCGUUGUUCGGUGUCACUGGGCUUAAAGAGUGUGUAGGCGGAUAUGCAAGCGCCAUGUGAAAUCCCUCGGCUUAACCGAGGAACUGCUUGGCGAACUGCAUAUCUUGAGGCAGGUAGGGGCCAGUGGAACUCUUGGUGGAGCGGUGGAAUGCGUAGAUAUCAAGAGGAACGCCAGUGGAGAAAUCGGCUGGCUGGGCCUGUCCUGACGCUGAGACACGAAAGCGUGGGGAGCGAACGGGAUUAGAUACCCCGGUAGUCCACGCCGUAAACGAUGUCUACUAGGUAGUGGUGGUUCUGACGCCGGCACUGCCGAAGCAAAAGUGAUAAGUAGACCGCCUGGGGAGUACGGUCGCAAGGCUAAAACUCAAAGGAAUUGACGG
rnacentral:rRNA from 1 species